rnacentral:miRNA from 1 species
AAACAACAAUAUAACAUUUCAAA